AGCGCGCAGCAGAGAGGAGGCGCGGGGCCGGAGGGGAGAAGGAGAGAGCCGCGCUGUUCUCGCGGCUGGAGGGAGGAUGGCGCCAGAGCGCGCAGGGGCAAGAGAUCACCGCGUCUUCAACGCGCCUGGAAGCGCUCUGAACUGACGUGUCUUCCAUCCUUCAUUCAUUCAUUUCUUGGAUGAUGUUGAAAACAACACCCAGGUCCCGUUUUUGCACCUGCUGAGCUCUUUUGUGAACUGAUAAGUUCUCUCUGAACCACAGUGCAUCUAAGAGAAGAAGAAAAGGACAAUGCUGAGACAGUUGCACUACAGCAUGAAGAAAA